rnacentral:rRNA from 1 species
AGAGUUUGAUCCUGGCUCAGAGUGAACGCUGGCGGCGUGCCUAACACAUGCAAGUCGAACGAUGAAGAGCAGCUUGCUGCUCGGAUUAGUGGCGCACGGGUGAGUAAUGCAUAGAUAAUGUGCCCCUUAGUUCGGGAUAGCCACUGGAAACGGUGAUUAAUACCGGAUACUCCUUCUUGUCAUAAGAUAAGUCGGGAAAGUUUUUCGCUAAGGGAUCAGUCUAUGUUCCAUCAGUUAGUUGGUAUGGUAAUGGCUCACCAAGACUAUGACGGAUAUCUGGUUUGAGAGGAUGAUCAGACACACUGGAACUGAGACACGGUCCAGACUCCUACGGGAGGCAGCAGUGAGGAAUAUUGCACAAUGGAGGAAACUCUGAUGCAGCAACGCCGCGUGGAGGAUGACGCAUUUCGGUGUGUAAACUCCUUUUAUUAGGGAAGAUAAUGACGGUACCUAAUGAAUAAGCACCGGCUAACUCCGUGCCAGCAGCCGCGGUAAUACGGAGGGUGCAAGCGUUACUCGGAAUCACUGGGCGUAAAGGGUGCGUAGGCUGGCUUUUAAGUCAGGUGUGAAAUCCAAUGGCUCAACCAUUGAACUGCACUUGAAACUGGGAGCCUAGAGUUCAGAAGGGGCAGAUGGAAUUAGUGGUGUAGGGAAAAAAAUCCGUAGAUAUCACUAGGAAUAUCAAAAGCGAAGGCGAUCUGCUGGGAUGAUACUGACGCUGAGGCACGAAAGCGUGGGGAGCAAACAGGAUUAGAUACCCUGGUAGUCCACGCCCUAAACGAUGAAUGCUAGUCGUCGGGGAGCUCGUCUCUUCGGUGAUGCACUUAACAGAUUAAGCAUUCCGCCUGGGGAGUACGGUCGCAAGAUUAAAACUCAAAGGAAUAGACGGGGACCCGCACAAGUGGUGGAGCAUGUGGUUUAAUUCCAAAAUACACGAAGGACCUUACCUGGCCUUGACAUGGUAGGAACCCUUAAGAGAUUAGGGGGUGCUAGCUUGCUAGAACCUACACACAGGUGCUGCACGGCUGUCGUCAGCUCGUGUCGUGAGAUGUUGGGUUAAGUCCCGCAACGAGCGCAACCCUCGUCAUUAGUUGCUAACAGUUUGGCUGAGCACUCUAAUGAGACUGCCUUCGUAAGGAGGAGGAAGGUGAGGACGACGUCAAGUCAUCAUGGCCCUUACGGCCAGGGCUACACACGUGCUACAAUGGGGCGUACAGAGAGCUGCAAUACCGCGAGGUGGAGCCAAUCUCUUAAAGCGUCUCUCAGUUCGGAUUGUUCUCUGCAACUCGAGAACAUGAAGCUGGAAUCACUAGUAAUCGUAGAUCAGCUAUGCUACGGUGAAUACGUUCCCGGGUCUUGUACUCACCGCCCGUCACACCAUGGGAGUUGAUUUCACCCGAAAUCGGGAUGCCAAACUGGCUACCGCUUACGGUGGAAUUAGCGACUGGGGUGAAGUCGAAACAAGGUA